rnacentral:lncRNA from 1 species
ACUUUGUAUCAAUAUACUUUAAAACAAACUGAGGUGAACAACAAAAAGUUACAACUCAAACCUUAUGUCGAAGAAAAACUGACAACUCCAUUGCAAUAAACGAAAAGUGGAAGAACAGGUUCUUAAAACACUACUUUAAAAUUAAGGACUGUAUCUCCCCGGGUGAACGUAUGUGCUCCGAACGGGUUAGAAGCUCCAUGUUACCGGGUUUGUACUAACAUGAGAAACACGAUGGGUGCCAUAUGUGGAGCAGAAUCUGCUAACCCUCCGGAGCACCUUAAAUCUACCCCAGUUUUUGGUGGGGUUCGUGUUGUUUAGUCUUGAGUUUUCUAUGUUGUGUUUUGUGUACUAUAGUUUGCCUUUUUUUUUUUUUGUUUUUUUUAGCCAUAACAUUGUCAGUUUAUUUCGACAUAUGAGUUUGAAUUCCUGUGGUGUCUUUCGCCCCUCUUUUAGAGGACUGUGUGUUAUUUCGUGUGCAUUAUGUAUAUAAAAAAAAUUAUAUAGUGUAGAUUAUCAAAAUAAAUUAUAUAUUGUA